AGGAGACAAUACGGCAUUUAUCAGACCUGUAGGUAGGGGGAGGUAUAGAGAGACAUUAAAAAACAGGGACAGAGAGAGAAAUGGAGGGAUAAAGGAAAAAGAUGGAGAUAUAGAAAAAUUUUUAUUCGCUAAAAAAUUCUUUAUACUCCUGAGUAGUCUCUCAUAAGAAGGAACUCACCUGGACAGUGCAAUGCCCAUGGUUUUGGAUGGGAGGCAUUCGGGAUUCGCAGCCUUCUUCACUGCUACGGGCCAAAAGUCCCCUUCCUCCCGUCCUUAUUUUAGUAGGUUGCCGUGGUUAUGCAGCAGAGUGAAGUGCUCUACAUGAGCCUGGGUGAGCUGGACGUGACAGGUCAGUGUGUCACACACAUCCUCACACCACACAC